AGGCAAGUAUCAAGACUAUACGUAACACACACUUCAGUGAACCCGUACAUUUCAGUGAGCUGAGGCGUUCCAAGCCGCUCACUGGAAGUAAGCCGUCUUGCCCAUCUCUACGAUAAGAAGUCUAGGUAGUUGGCUAUAGAUCACAGUUGUCUAGAGAAAUGUUCCUCCGGCCGACUACACUGUCCUCGCAAUAAACUUUCACGAGCGCAGCCCGGAGUUGGCAGACGUCAGGGCGUAGAAGCCGCGAUCGUCGCGCAUACACGGCCGGCGUCGCUGCAGCUGGCGCAAUCGCAUCGCCGGCGGCUGCAACGGACACGCUGGACGGGCCACGCUGAAAAGCACCGCCGGGCGAGAACAAAGCCGAGAACGGCGCCCGCAGCUGCGCGCACUGGCCUCGAACGGCGGCCGCUGCUGCGCUGCUUUCACCGACGGCAGCCGCUGUCCUCAACCGAGGCGCCGCCACAGCGCCGGGUGGGCACGUCGUCCACUUCGAGCCGGUGCCAACGCAAAACCCAGAAAGCGGGAGAUGGAAACAAAACAAAGGGGUAGAACAAAAAAAGAAGUGGAGGGGGGGCUCGCAGUUCGCUAACAGGAGCGCCUAUUCGCUCGCGCUGUAGCCCUUUUGCUCCACAAAGACAGGCACGAUGAACCGCUGAGAUAUGCACUAGGAUUGGUCGACAGCACACGCCAGAAGAAUGAACGCUCCCCUUCGCCCCUGCGGGCCGAGAGCGGUCGCCGAGCACGGGCGAGGAGUGGAGGGCGCUGGCGCGACAGGUCGACCUUGGCGAGGACGCGCCUGAGAGAGAGGCGGAAGCGGGCGAGAACGGACGCGCGGCGCCCCCGUCGCGUGGGCAGCAACGCGAGGCAACGGCCAGCACGCAACGGAGACUCACGCGGAGGAAACAAGACCGCGUUGCCACUGCACUGCUUGGCGGAGACGCGUCAAGCGAGCGAGCCGAACCUACCGUAUUCACGCGAACACGGUAGAGUCGGGUAGAGACAUCUUGUCGGGUUCGAAUAAACACUGGCGGAUCGGGUCGAGCCACCUUCGA